AAACCAGCACUUCAAGUGGUCAGGAUGAUUAUUGGGCCUAAAGCAUCCGUAGCCUGCUCUGUAAGUUUUCGGUUAAAUCUGUACGCUCAACGUACAGGCUGCCGGGAAUACUGCAGAGCUCGGGAGUGGGAGAGGUAGACGGUACUCGGGAGGAAGUGGUAAAAUGCUUUGAUCUCUCGAUGACCACCUGUGGCGAAGGCGGUCUACCAGAACACGUCCGACGGUGAGGGAUGAAAGCUGGGGGAGCAAACCAGAUUAGAAACCCCGGUAGUCC
rnacentral:rRNA from 1 species